AUUGAACGCUAGCGGGAUGCCUUACACAUGCAAGUCGAACGGAGUGGCGAACGGGGGAGUAAGGAAUGGGAAGGUGCCCAGUAGCGGGGGAGAACUACGGGAAAGCGAAGCUAAUACCGCAUACUAUUGGAGCGGCAGAUAUCGGAUUAGCUAGUUGGUGGGGUAACGGCUCACCUAGGCGAAGAUCCGUAGCUUGUUUGAGAGGAAGACCAGCCAAACUGGGACUUAGACACGGCCCAUACUCCUACGUGAGGCAGCAGUGGGGAAUAUUGCACAAUGGGCGCAACCCUGAUCCAGCCAUGCCGCGUGUACGAUGAAGGCCUUCGGGUUGUAAAGCACUUUUAGCAGGAAGGCGGUACCUACAGAAUAAGCACCGGCUAACUCCGUGCCAGCAGCCGCGGUAAUAC
rnacentral:rRNA from 1 species